AAGUCGUAACAAGGUUUCCGUAGGUGAACCUGCGGAAGGAUCAUUAAAAAAUAUAUAACUGGGAGUUCGUUUUUGUUCUCCCGGGAUAUUUGUAUUCAAAUUUCCACUCUUUAUAAAUAUAACAAUUAUAAAACAAAAUAAAAAAUGAAAACUUUCAACAACGGAUCUCUUGGUUCUC
rnacentral:misc_RNA from 1 species